rnacentral:rRNA from 1 species
AACGAACGCUGGCGGCAGGCUUAACACAUGCAAGUCGAGCGCCCCGCAAGGGGAGCGGCAGACGGGUGAGUAACGCGUGGGAACGUACCCUUUGCUACGGAAUAGCUCCGGGAGACUGGAAUUAAUACCGUAUGUGCCCUACGGGGGAAAGAUUUAUCGGCAAAGGAUCGGACCGCGUUGGAUUAGCUAGUUGGUGGGGUAAUGGCCUACCAAGGCGACGAUCCAUAGCUGGUCUGAGAGGAUGAUCAGCCACAUUGGGACUGAGACACGGCCCAAACUCCUACGGGAGGCAGCAGUGGGGAAUAUUGGACAAUGGGCGCAAGCCUGAUCCAGCCAUGCCGCGUGAGUAAUGAAGGCCUUAGGGUUGUAAAGCUCUUUCACCGGAGAAGAUAAUAACGGUAUCCGGAGAAGAAGCCCCGGCUAACUUCGUGCCAGCAGCCGCCGCGGUAA